UGAGUACGAGCUGCUACGGCAGCGAAGUGGGUGAUGUCAAGCUUCCAAGAAAAGCCCUAUACCCGUUAAGGCAUGAUGGCCUGUACCCGAAACCGACACAGGUGGGGUGGUAGAGAAUACCGAGGGGCGCGAGAUAACUCUCUCUAAGGAACUCGGCAAAAUGGCCCCGUAACUUCGGGAGAAGGGGUGCCACCGCAAGGUGGUCGCAGUGAAGAGGCCCAGGCGACUGUUUACCAAAAACACAGGUCUCCGCUAAGUCGCAAGACGAUGUAUGGGGGCUGACGCCUGCCCAGUGCCGGAAGGUUAAGGAAGCUGGUCAGCGCAAGCGAAGCUGGCGACUGAAGCCCCGGUGAACGGCGGCCGUAACUAUAACGGUCCUAAGGUAGCGAAAUUCCUUGUCGGGUAAGUUCCGACCCGCACGAAAGGCGUAACGAUCUGGGCGCUGUCUCGGAGAGAGGCUCGGCGAAAUAGAAUUGUCUGUGAAGAUGCGGACUACGUGCACCCGGACAGAAAGACCCUAUGAAGCUUUACUGUAGCUUGGUAUUGUGCCCGGGCUCUGAAUGCGCAGGAUAGGUGGGAGGCUUUGAUCCAUUGCUUGCGGGUGAUGGUGAGCCAACGGUGAGAUACCACUCUUUCAGAGCUAGGGUUCUAACGGUCACCCGUUAUCCGGGGACCGGACAGUAUCAGGUGGGCAGUUUGACUGGGGCGGUCGCCUCCUAAAAGGUAACGGAGGCGCGCGAAGGUUCCCUCAGGCUGGUUGGAAAUCAGCCGACGAGUGUAAAGGCAGAAGGGAGCUUGACUGUGAGACCUACAAGUCGAACAGGGACGAAAGUCGGCCUUAGUGAUCCGACGGUUCUGAGUGGAAGGGCCGUCGCUCAACGGAUAAAAGUUACUCUAGGAUAACAGGCUGAUCUCCCCCAAGAGUUCACAUCGACGGGGAGGUUUGGCACCUCGAUGUCGGCUCAUCGCAACCUGGGGCUGAAGUCGGUCCCAAGGGUUGGGCUGUUCGCCCAUUAAAGCGGUACGCGAGCUGGGUUCAGAACGUCGUGAGACAGUUCGGUCCAUAUCCGGUGCAUGCGCAGGAACAUUGAGAGGAUUUCUCCCUAGUACGAGAGGACCGGGAGGAACGCACCUCUGGUGUACCAGUUAUCGUGCCAACGGUAAACGCUGGGUAGCCAUGUGCGGAGCGGAUAACCGCUGAAAGCAUCUAAGUGGGAAGCCCACCUCAAGAUGAGUGUUCCCAUGGCAUAAGCCAGUAAGGUCACGGGAAGAACACCCGUUGAUAGGCUCUACGUGGAAGCGUGGCAACACGUGAAGCGGAGGAGUACUAAUAGACCGAGGGCUUG
rnacentral:rRNA from 1 species